UACAGAGGCCCCAAGCGUUACCCGGAAUCACUGGGCGUAAAGGGUGUCAAGGCGGUUAUGUUAGUCUUUCGUUAAAUCCAGGAGCUCAACUUCUGGCCCGCGAGAGAAACGGCAUGACUUGAGGUUGGGAGAGGUGCGUGGAACUCACGGUGUAGGGGUAAAAUCCGUUGAUAUCGUGGGGAACACCAAAGGCGAAGGCAGCGCACUGGCCCAAAUCUGACGCUCACACACGAAAGCCAGGGUAGCGAACGGG
rnacentral:rRNA from 1 species